AUUGAACGCUGGCGGCAGGCCUAACACAUGCAAGUCGAACGAGUGGCUGACGGGUGAGUAAUGUCUGGGAAACUGCCUGAUGGAGGGGGAUAACUACUGGAAACGGUAGCUAAUACUGCACACCAUAGGAUGAGCCCAGAUGGGAUUAGCUAGUAGGUGGGGUAACGGCUUACCUAGGCGACGAUCCCUAGCUGGUCUGAGAGGAUGACCAGCGAUUCUGGAACUGAGACACGGUCCAGACUCCUACGGGAGGAGGUAGUGGGUAAUAUUGCGCAAUGGGCACAAUCCUGAUGCAGCCAUGCCGCGUGAGUGAUGACGUCCUUCGGGUUGUAAUGCACUUUCAGCGGGGGGGCGUUACCCGCAGAAGAAGCACCGGCUAACUCCGUGCCAGCCGCCGCGGUAAUUC
rnacentral:rRNA from 1 species